CCUGUCUGAAUCUGGCGGGACCAUCCGCUAAGGCUAAAUACUCCUGAGAGACCGAUAGUGAACCAGUACCGUGAGGGAAAGGUGAAAAGAACCGUGAAUAACGGAGUGAAAAAGAUCCUGAAACCAUACGCCUACAAGCGGUCGGAGCCCAUUCGUUGGGUGACGGCGUGCCUUUUGCAUAAUGAGCCUACGAGUUACCGUUGCUGGCAAGGAUAAGCACUUCAGGUGUGGAUCCGUAGCGAAAGCGAGUCUGAAUAGGGCGCUAUAGUCAGUAGUGGUAGACGCGAAACCGUGUGAUCUACCCAUGGGCAGGAUGAAGCUGUGGUAACACACAGUGGAGGUCCGAACCGGUUGACGUUGAAAAGUCUUCGGAUGACCUGUGGGUAGGGGUGAAAGGCCAAUCAAACUGAGAGAUAGCUCGUUCUCCCCGAAAUGUUUUUAGGAACAGCGUUGCAUCAAGAAGUUUAUUAGAGGUAGAGCUACUGAUUGGGCUAGGGGGCUUCACCGCCUACCAAACCCUGACAAACUCCGAAUGCUAAUAAAUAUCUGCAGCAGUGAGGCUUUGGGCGCUAAGGUCCAGGGCCGAGAGGGAAAUAACCCAGAUUAGCAACUAAGGUCCCUAAUACACAGUUAAGUUGAUCAAACGAGGUGGGAUUUCAAUAACAGCCAGGAUGUUGGCUUGGAAGCAGCCAUUCAUUUAAAGAGUGCGUAACAGCUCACUGGUCGAGAGAUCCUGCACGGAAAAUAAUCGGGCAUCAAACUGUGAACCGAAGUUCUAAAUUCAACCGUAAGGUUGAGUGGUAGGGGAGCAUUCAAAUCAGCACAGAAGGUGAUAGGCGACUAUUGCUGGAGCGAUUUGAAAAGAAAAUGUAGGCAUAAGUAACGAUAAUUAAAGUGAAAAACUUUAACGCGAAAAGUCUAAGGUUUCCUGAUCAACGUUAAUCGGAUCAGGGUUAGUCUGGUCCUUAGGAAAACCCGAAAGGGGCAUCUGAUGGAAAGAAGGUUAAUAUUCCUUCACCUGCUAUACAUUAAAAGUGACGCAGGGACGUGGUUGUUGCGUACGGACGGAAGUGUGCGCUGAGCGGAGUCUUCGGACGAAGCGAAACAAUAAAAUCCCUGCCAAGAAAAGCGAGUAUGGCAGCCAGUACCGCAAACCGACACAGGUAGACGGGAUGAGUAUUCUAACGCGCUCGGGUGAGCCGUGGAGAAGGAACUAGGCAAAUUGACGCUGUAACUUCGGGAUAAAGCGUACCGCAGCGAUGCGGUCACAGUAAAAUGGUUCAACCAACUGUUUAACAAAAACACAGGGCCCUGCAAAAUCGAAAGAUGACGUAUAGAGCCUGAAACCUGCCCGGUGCUGGAAGGUUAAGGAAGGGUGUUCGUAGCAAUACAAAGCUCCUGACUGAAGCCCCAGUAAACGGCGGCCGUAACUAUAACGGUCCUAAGGUAGCGAAAUUCCUUGUCGG
rnacentral:rRNA from 1 species